rnacentral:misc_RNA from 1 species
GAUAGAACGUAGCGAAAUGCGAUACGUAGUGUGAAUUGCAGAAUUCAGUGAAUCAUCGAAUCUUUGAACGCACAUUGCACCUCUCGGUAUUCCGGGAGGUAUGCCUGUUCGAGCGUCAUUUGUACCCUCAAGCUCUGCUUGGUGUUGGGUGUUUGUUCCGCCUCUGUGUGUGAACUCGCCUCAAAACAAUUGGCAGCCGGCGUACUUGUUUCGGAGCGCAGCACAUUUUGCGAUCCAGAUCAACGUACAGCGGCAUCCAAGAAGCCUUAUUUAACGCUCUUGACCUCGGAUCAGGUAGGGAUACCCGCUGAACUUAAGCAUAUCAAUAAGCGGAGGA